rnacentral:rRNA from 1 species
UACAGAGGGUGCGAGCGUUGUUCGGAAUUAUUGGGCGUAAAGGGCGCGUAGGCGGUGCCACAAGUCACUUGUGAAAUCCCCGGGCUUAACUCGGGGCCUGCAGGCGAAACUGUGGUGCUGGAGUAUGGGAGAGGUGCGUGGAAUUCACGGUGUAGCAGUGAAAUGCGUAGAUAUCGUGAGGAACACCUGUGGCGAAAGCGGCUCACUGGACCACAACUGACGCUGAGGCGCGAAGGCUAGGGGAGCGAACGGG